GCCGUCGUAGCUCAGUUGGUAGAGCGGCUCACUCGUAAUGAGCAGGUCGUGGGUUCGAGUCCCAUCGUCGGCU
rnacentral:tRNA from 1 species